UUACUGUACCUUCACGAGCACGAAUCUAAUGAAACAUGGAUAGCUUCAAUGACAUUAGUGCUUGCUGUACCCGAAAUUAUUACUAUAGUCAAACUUUUGUGGUGCUCGUCUUUUCUCCUCAUUGGCAAAUUACGCGAAUGGCCAUCGCUGCCAUCUUUUCUAUUGGGUAUCGUCUGCUCUAUAAUGGAAAGCACCGCAUUAAUAUUUUUUCUUAUGAUAGUCGGUCCCAACCUUCAUCCGAUUAUCCU